rnacentral:misc_RNA from 1 species
UGGUUCUGGCAUCGAUGAAGAACGCAGCGAAAUGCGAUAAGUAAUGCGAAUUGCAGAAUUCAGUGAGUCAUCGAAUUUUUGAACGCACAUUGCGCCCUUUGGUAUUCCGAAGGGCAUGCCUGUUCGAGCGUCAUUUCAACCCCCAAGCUUUUGCUUGUUGUUGGAUAAAGGAAAUCACUUUCCUUUUCCCAAAGAUAAUGACUUGUAAAGAUGAUUGCCUGUACAAUGAGCUUUUCCAAAGAGCACGUACAAAGCGAAAAUUUGAACAAGUCCUACACCGUUUUCUAAAUGAUUGACCUCGGAUCAGGUAGGAAUACCCGCUGA